rnacentral:rRNA from 1 species
AGCGAACGCUGGCGGCAGGCUUAACACAUGCAAGUCGAGCGGGCAUCUUCGGGUGUCAGCGGCGGACGGGUGAGUAACGCGUGGGAACGUGCCUUCUGGUUCGGAAUAACUCAGGGAAACUUGAGCUAAUACCGGAUACGCCCUUUUGGGGAAAGGUUUACUGCCGGAAGAUCGGCCCGCGUCUGAUUAGCUAGUUGGUGGGGUAACGGCCUACCAAGGCGACGAUCAGUAGCUGGUCUGAGAGGAUGAUCAGCCACACUGGGACUGAGACACGGCCCAGACUCCUACGGGAGGCAGCAGUGGGGAAUAUUGGACAAUGGGGGCAACCCUGAUCCAGCCAUGCCGCGUGAGUGAUGAAGGCCUUAGGGUUGUAAAGCUCUUUUAUCCGGGACGAUAAUGACGGUACCGGAGGAAUAAGCCCCGGCUAACUUCGUGCCAGCAGCCGCUGUAA